rnacentral:rRNA from 1 species
AGUGAACGCUGGCGGUAGGCCUAACACAUGCAAGUCGAACGGCAGCACAGGAGAGCUUGCUCUCUGGGUGGCGAGUGGCGGACGGGUGAGGAAUACAUCGGAAUCUACUCUGUCGUGGGGGAUAACGUAGGGAAACUUACGCUAAUACCGCAUACGACCUACGGGUGAAAGCAGGGGAUCUUCGGACCUUGCGCGAUUGAAUGAGCCGAUGUCGGAUUAGCUAGUUGGCGGGGUAAAGGCCCACCAAGGCGACGAUCCGUAGCUGGUCUGAGAGGAUGAUCAGCCACACUGGAACUAAGACACGGUCCAGACUCCUACGGGAGGCAGCAGUGGGGAAUAUUGGACAAUGGGCGCAAGCCUGAUCCAGCCAUACCGCGUGGGUGAAGAAGGCCUUCGGGUUGUAAAGCCCUUUUGUUGGGAAAGAAAUCCAUCUGGUUAAUACCCGGAUGGGAUGACGGUACCCAAAGAAUAAGCACCGGCUAACUUCGUGCCAGCCGCCGCCGUAA